UACGGGAGGCAGCAGUGGGGAAUAUUGGACAAUGGGCGAAAGCCUGAUCCAGCCAUGCCGCGUGUGUGAAGAAGGUCUUCGGAUUGUAAAGCACUUUAAGUUGGGAGGAAGGGUUGUAGAUUAAUACUCUGCAAUUUUGACGUUACCGACAGAAUAAGCACCGGCUAACUCUGUGCCAGCAGCCGCGGU
rnacentral:rRNA from 1 species